UGUUUAAUGAAUGGAUCUUCUAUAAAUUCACAUUUUAUAAUUUUAUAUAAACUAAUUAAAC
rnacentral:tRNA from 1 species